GUGUUCAGUUAGGCAGCACAUAUGCUAACAUUGGAAUGAUACAAGAAGAUUAGCAUGACCUCUGAACAAGGAUGACUCACAGAAUCAUGAUACAUUCCAUUAAAAA
ensembl:snRNA U6 U6 spliceosomal RNA